rnacentral:rRNA from 1 species
GUGGGGAAUAUUGGACAAUGGGGGGAACCCUGAUCCAGCCAUGCCGCGUGUGUGAAGAAGGCCUUUUGGUUGUAAAGCACUUUAAGCGAGGAGGAGGCUACCGAGAUUAAUACUCUUGGAUAGUGGACGUUACUCGCAGAAUAAGCACCGGCUAACUCUGUGCCAGCAGCCGCGGUAAUACAGAGGGUGCAAGCGUUAAUCGGAUUUACUGGGCGUAAAGCGCGCGUAGGUGGCCAAUUAAGUCAAAUGUGAAAUCCCCGAGCUUAACUUGGGAAGUGCAUUCGAUACUGGUUGGCUAGAGUAUGGGAGAGGAUGGUAGAAUUCCAGGUGUAGCGGUGAAAUGCGUAGAGAUCUGGAGGAAUACCGAUGGCGAAGGCAGCCAUCUGGCCUAAUACUGACGCUGAGGUACGAAAGCAUGGGGAGCAAACAGGAUUAGAAACCCUUGUAGUCC